AGUGAACGCUGGCGGCAGGCCUAACACAUGCAAGUCGAGCGGCAGCGCGGGGGCAACCCUGGCGGCGAGCGGCGGACGGGUGAGGAAUUCGUCGGAAUCUGCCUUUUUGUGGGGGAUAACGUAGGGAAACUUACGCUAAUACCGCAUACGUCCUACGGGAGAAAGUGGGGGACCGCAAGGCCUCACGCAGAAAGAUGAGCCGACGACCGAUUAGCUAGUUGGUGGGGUAAAGGCCCACCAAGGCGACGAUCGGUAGCUGGUCUGAGAGGAUGAUCAGCCACACUGGGACUGAGACACGGCCCAGACUCCUACGGGAGGCAGCAGUGGGGAAUAUUGGACAAUGGGCGCAAGCCUGAUCCAGCCAUGCCGCGUGUGUGAAGAAGGCCUUCGGGUUGUAAAGCACUUUUGUCCGGAAAGAAAGCCCUGGAGCUAAUACCUUCGGGGGAUGACGGUACCGGAAGAAUAAGCACCGGCUAACUUCGUG
rnacentral:rRNA from 1 species